rnacentral:lncRNA from 1 species
CCCAGGUACUGAGCUUCCUGGCCCAUAAAUGCCCAUCCCCUUCACAUUCUCCUACUUCCUGCAGAACCAGCAGCCCUCUAUGAGAUCAGGCUACAGGCAUUCAAUGGCAACAGGGAUGGAAAUAGCAGUGCCCGCUUUGUCUCGUGUGAUGUGCCCCUAGCCACUCCGGGUAAGUGGGGUCUGGUAGGAGGGUAGUAGGGCUGGUGUCAGAGCAGGCCCCCAUGGCUGCCAGUCUUCAGGGAGGAGGAGGGCUGAGCUUCACCUCCAACCCUGGUCCUCUCUGACAGAUGGCACUGUGUCCACAGAGUCCAAGGCUGGGUGCUCGUGCAGCCCGGAUGAGAGCAGCCCACUGCCUGGGGUUCUGGUGGGCAUCCACGUGGGCCUGGCUGCCCUCAUCGUUUGCCUCCUCUGCCUCUUCCUGGGCUGCAGACAUAGCCUCCUCUGCAAACAGGGGUCCCAGGAAUGCUGGGGAGUGCCUCAGACUGCCUUAGACAGAGCUGGGGGAUGUCAAGGCCAGAUUCAGAGUGGAGGGAAGCCGGGGGAGAAGACUGAACUCACCACCCAGGUGACCGUGGAACAGCUGGCCUUGGCCUAGGGCCCUUCAAGUUGGCUCCCUCCGAGAUGCCACUAACUCUGGAUACACCAAAGAAUCUACCUCACCUGUCCCGAACCGAAAGUCCCUCAGCCCCUCUCCGGGGAGGGGCAGGACUGGCCAUAGCGGGAGAAGAAGGUGUGGUUGCUGUGUUCCUCCCUGACCUCAAAAAAUGGGAGAAUCAGAAUCCCUUCCCCCGACACACCAAAUAACCUCAAACUAAACCAAGCCCAGCUGGGAGUUACUCCCAACCCAGUUACUCCUGCCUCAUGACCCCAUCCAAUAUAUUCACCUCUUCUUGAUCCAAAUAUGAACUUGCCCAAAGACACAUAGCUUUAAGAGUUCCCCACAAAGUGGGGGCAGGGGAAGAGGCUGUCAUCAUCUCCGUCUCACAACCUGAAGCCCUCCAGUCUAAAAUCUGUCUCAGUCUCCUCGUGCCCAAGCUGAGCUCUGCCCAGGGACAGGCGACCUGCAUUCCCUGUGGUCCAAGUGGGCAGGCGGGCAAAAGGGGUGCUGAGUUCCUUGCCCCCCUUCUCCCUACAACAUAAGAGUCUUAAAUACCUGAGCUCAUAUGAGCUUCUCUGAGCAACCAAAUACCCAUUUCCCCCUUUCCAGAUCCAAAGCACUGGCUCCUCCUCAGGGGGCAUCUUUACCCAUUUGAUUUCUAUUUUUGAAAGAGAUUAGUUUGAGUCAGAGUUUUGGCAGUCUUGAAUCGCCUGUAGAAUGAGCAGAGGCUGGGCAGCAUCCCCCAUCUCCCUUCCAUCAACUCUUGGGGUCCAAAGAGCACUUCUUUCCCACUUCUCCCUCUACCAGCCUAUGGCAUCCAGGGCACCAUAGUCCCUCCUCAUCCAGCUCUGCCAUGCUCUAAAGCCAAAGCCCCAGCCACUCCCUCAAUCACUAUCUCUCCAAGGCUGUCCAGUAUUGUGCCAAAAAAGGGAAGGGUCUUGGGGGAAGGAAAGUCCAUGGCUUAGAGGACCCCAAAACUGUCUCCUGUGCUCUUCUAGAGUAAUGCUAGUACCAAUGACAAGACUCCUGAAAGGCUGGGCUCUGGCCCUCCACAAUAGCGCCCUCUGCACACGGCACAGCAGCAGCUGUAACUAAAAAACGCGGCUGAGGAGCAAGAGGGCUAAGAAUAGCCCCAAACGUCAAGUCUUUGAGGAAAUGACAUCCUCUUCUCUGGUUGGGCCUGGUCUAACUGCUUUGUUGGAAAGAAAUAACCAAAACGGAAAAAAUAAAUUAGGAUCUGGUUAAUGCUUUCGGCUGAAA